GUUUUCUGUCUACUGGGAGACUGCCUUUCCCCGGCGUUGGCUGGGACCAAUUAUCAUUUUAGAGACAGUUUAACAACUGCCUAACCAUCACCUGAUGGUCACCUGACAUUGUUGGGCUGGGAGUUCGCGGGGCUCUCCUGCUCUGCUCACCAUUGCCUAACUAUCUACUGUAACAAUACCACCUAGCAAAGCUGUGGCCGUGUCUUGCAGGAAGAAGAGUCCAGUAUGAUGUCUAAAGCAGAUCUGUUCUGAACCCACCACUUGUCCAAUUUCAUCAUCUUCUUGGAUGAGGAGUUCUGUGGCUUAGAGGAGAAAAAGAAACCUUUUUCUCUACUCUCAGAUGAGAAAACUGAAACAGAAAGGUCACCUCAGCUGUUGCAAAGUAAUAAAUGGCAAGACUGGAAUUCAGAGAAGGGCUGUGUAGCCCCAAGUUCCACUCGUAACCAUUACUGCACAGCCCUACCCUCAGAGGACUUGCAUUCCUGUUCUUGGAUGUGCAGAAUGCAUCACCUGUAACAUCUGCAUGCACCCCGAGACAUCUGCAUCACCCCCAAAGUUAAGUCUGUCCCAUCCCCACCUUGCCCCAGCCUGCUCCUCUGUCUUACAUUUCAGUCCUCUGAGAGUUGAAGAGCUGGCCCAAGCCCCAAUCUGAGCCACUCUGCUUGAUCCAAGCCAACUUCCCACCAAGAGCUCAGACUGCUGCUCCCCCAGAACGCAAGUCCUUCUUACCCAAUAUUAAGGCAGUACAGGGCAGUUAAG
rnacentral:lncRNA from 10 species